AUAUGGCUACUGGGUGUAAAAGAUAAAUCUUAUUCUAUCUGUUCUUAAUGAGUUUUAGAUAAUUUUAGUUGUAUUUCUUUGUAAUUUUGUGUUGUACAAAGAUUAAUUUAACAUUUUCUCUGGAAGUAUUAAUUUAGAAAGAUAAUAUGCUUCAUUGGUGUUGUGUUUUGAAGUGUGAAAUGUGAUAAAGUCAAGAUAAAGUUCACUUUUAAACUGAACUAAAUAAGGUAUCUGAGAGACAACAAUGGUUAAAUGCAAUACAAUGUACAGGUUUUACUAGCGAAAUGAAAAUUUUCCUGUCCUGUCUGCUGUAAUCAUUUUAUAUCUGGAAAACCAGCCGACUUAAUAGAUAAUAACAAUCUCCAGAUUGGGUUCCUUCAAUAAAUAUGGGCUAUAAACACAAUGAAAUAAGUUCCCCAAAAUCUAAAAUGGAGUGCUAUCAAAGGAGAA
rnacentral:lncRNA from 1 species